UAAUACGGGGGGAGCAAGCGUUGUUCGGAUUUACUGGGCGUAAAGGGCGCGUAGGCGGUCAGCGCAAGUCAGUUGUGAAAUCUCUGGGCUUAACUCAGAACGGUCAACUGAUACUGCGCGACUAGAGUGCAGAAGGGGCAACUGGAAUUCUCGGUGUAGCGGUGAAAUGCGUAGAUAUCGAGAGGAACACCUGCGGCGAAGGCGG
rnacentral:rRNA from 1 species